rnacentral:rRNA from 1 species
AUUGAACGCUGGCGGCAGGCCUAACACAUGCAAGUCGAACGAGUGGCGGACGGGUGAGUAAUGUCUGGGAAACUGCCUGAUGGAGGGGGAUAACUACUGGAAAAGGUAGCUAAUACCGCAUACCAUCAGAUGUGCCCAGAUGGGAUUAGCUUGUUGGUGUGGUAACGGAGAACCAAGGCGACGAUCCCUAGCUGGUCUGAGAGGAUGACCAGCAACACGGGAACGGAUACACGGUCCAGACUCCUACGGGAGGCAGCAGUGGCGAAUAUUGCACAAUGGGCGCAAGCCUGAUGCAGCCAUGCCGCGUGUAUGAAGAAGGCCUUCGGGUUGUAAAGUACUUUCAGCGGGGAGGCGUUACCCGCAGAAGAAGCACCGGCUAACUCCGUGCCAGCCGCCGCGGUAAUUC